GACGAACGCUGGCGGCGUGCUUAACACAUGCAAGUCGAACGAAGAGCGAUGGAAGCUUGCUUCUAUCAAUCUUAGUGGCGAACGGGUGAGUAACGCGUAAUCAACCUGCCCUUCAGAGGGGGACAACAGUUGGAAACGACUGCUAAUGCCGCAUACGAUCUGACCUCGGCAUCGAGGAUAGAUGAAAGGUGGCCUCUAUUUAUAAGCUAUCACUGAAGGAGGGGAUUGCGUCUGAUUAGCUAGUUGGAGGGGUAACGGCCCACCAAGGCGAUGAUCAGUAGCCGGUCUGAGAGGAUGAACGGCCACAUUGGGACUGAGACACGGCCCAGACGCCUACGGGAGGCAGCAGUGGGGAAUCUUCCGCAAUGGACGAAAGUCUGACGGAGCAACGCCGCGUGAGUGAUGACGGCCUUCGGGUUGUAAAGCUCUGUUAAUCGGGACGAAAGGCCUUCUUGCGAAUAGUUAGAAGGAUUGACGGUACCGGAAUAGAAAGCCACGGCUAACUACGUG
rnacentral:rRNA from 1 species